UCACCGCCAGGGCCUGGGCGUCACAGGCAGGGGGAAUGGGGAGGGGACGGUAGCGUCAGCCGAGACCCGCACGCAGUUUCCUGAUAAAAGGUCCUUUUGAAACAUUCAUUCUCUUCUCACCAAGUUGAACGGAGAUGUGUUCCCAUAGUAAGAGUGAGGCCCCUGCAUUUGCUGCCCUCGGUUUUCCCAACCAACACCAUGGCCUCCCCCCGUACCCCAUUCAUACGCCUCAGAAGCUGACAAUGACUGCUGGGCUUUUCCAGUGAAUACCAGAACACCAUUUCCUGCAGCCUGAAAAGAAGACAGUAUAAUUAUUUGGCAGCAAGAGGCCAAGCAGGAAAUUAGAGCUAUGGCGAUGGUAGCGGUCCUAAGGAGGAGCUUUAACCUGAGCGCCACCCACAGGAGGCAGACCACCCUCCCGGCCGCAGUGCAAAUGAAUGUUGGCCCCCACCCAGGUCCUCAAGUGCUUUCCCAGUCACGCCCCAGCUGCCAGGUUUGUUCUCCAGGCCUACUACAGAGGGGUUACCCUGACUCCACCCCCAACACCCUCCAGUGAUUAGAACCACUGACUCCUCCCUCCCAUGCCUGCCUCCAAGGCAGGCUCCUGCAGAAACCAAACUCUGGCAUACUGAGACCAGGGCUUGAUCCUGGCCCCCUUGCCUG